AUUCAGACGAUGAGUCUCAAAUAGGACGAAACACGCGUCCUGGGU
rnacentral:hammerhead_ribozyme from 1 species